ensembl:lncRNA
AGAAAAUAUGUUGCAGUUUCAGUUGUUGCUUGCUAACGGUGUUACCCAAAACACUUCAGACAUAAUUAGCUAGUUACCUUCAACUAGAGUUGCAACAAAGUUGUCCAGUGUAUAACGCUAGCCUAUUCAACAAAAGUCAUGACCGGUUAACAUUACCUCAGGCUCCAUUGCAUUGACUCGUGUUGCCUCCUCCGUUCAGUCGCUUUUGCUUGACUCCAAAGUCACCUAUGAUGAUGAUGGUUGGUCAGUAACCCCUAUAUCAAAACCCUCGGAAUCUCAAAUGGAGGCGCAACCAGAGUGCUUCAACGUUGCUCGAGCUGGGCCAUCCUUUCUCUUCAGGACAUGGAGCCACUUCUACACAAGUUGUGGGUCCUUGGGCAGCCGAUGGUAGUUUACUGAGGGAUUUGUUUUGAGCCAAUUCAUACAGCCUGGUGCUAUACAUUUCAUGUUUGAAUUAUUACUUGUUAUUGCCAUCUUCGUUGUCCGCACCUAACCUCACUCUCUUCGAUUUACUCUCCUCGCGAAAACUCAAUACCACAGACAAUUUGCUGAUUCCUGCCAGUGAUGCACUGGCAUCAGUCGUUACUGUGGCAAUUUAAAUGGCACUGACCAUAGCUCAAAUAAAAAUAUAGAGAUGUUUUUAUGUUUAUUGUAUUAGUGGGUUGAAUACAUCUCUUUGCCUAAAAAUGUACUUCCUAAAGUGUUUCCAUUCCCCUUUAAACAACACUCCAGACUCUGCCAGACCCCUAGUGGAGUGAUAAGUAACACUGCUAUAUGCCAGGGAGAUAGCCUCAACAGUGGGAGAGACGCUGCUUAGAGAGCGCCCUGACACGAGCUGGACUACAAAACAGACAAAAAGCAUAACCGGAUAUCCAUAGCAAAAAGGAAGAAAGGCAUAACCACAUAUCCAUAGCAAAAAGGAAGAAAGGCAUAACCGGAUAUCCAUAGCAAAAAAGGAAGAAAGGCAUAACCGGAUAUCCAUAGCAAAAAGGAAGAAAGGCAUAACCGGAUAUCCAUAGCAAAAAAGAAGAAAGGCAUAACCGGAUAUCCAUAGCAAAAAAGAAGAAAGGCAUAACCGGAUAUCCAUAGCAAAAAAGGAAGAAAGGCAUAACCGGAUAUCCAUAGCAAAAAGGAAGAAAGGCAUAACCGGAUAUCCAUAGCAAAAAGGAAGAAAGGCAUAACCACAUAUCCAUAGCAAAAAGGAAGAAAGGCAUAACCACAUAUCCAUAGCAAAAAGGAAGAAAGGCAUAACCACAUAUCCAUAGCAAAAAGGAAGAAAGGCAUAACCGGAUAUCCAUAGCAAAAAAGGAAGAAAGGCAUAACCGGAUAU